rnacentral:lncRNA from 1 species
GCGGAGAGAGCGGCCAUGGCUGCCCAGGACCCGCUGCGGCCUCCACCCUCCCCUGCGCCGCGGCGGGGCUGGCCCUGCCUGGGGCGGGGCAGUGUCAGGCCCACUGCAGGCUCAAACCGUGUUCUUUUUCAAGUUCUUCAUCCCCAGGGAAAAGACUGAGAUAGUAACCACUUAGGGGACGUCCUUCUUCACUUCCAUCAUAGCUGGUAGAACUAGAAAGAGACCCAGCCUUCAUGGAGAAUUUUUUAAACAUUAAAAUCCUUAGAGAGGUACCUGCCCUUUGACCCAGCUUUGCAGUUUGACCACUCUUAGAAAAUGCCAGUGGGAAUCCAGUGAGGUGAUGUGGGGUGCUGAGUGCCUCCCGGGGGUGACGUGGGAUGCUGAGUGCAGCCUGGGGGUGAUGUGGGGUGCCGAGGGCCACCUGGGGGUGAUGUGGGGGUGACAUGGGGUGCUGAGUGCAGCCCAGGGUUGACAUGGGGGUGACAUGGGGGUGACGUGGGGUGCCAAGUGCCACCUGGGGGUCACAUGGGGUGCAGAGUGCAGCCCGGGGGUGACGUGGGGGUGACGUGGGGUGCCGAGUGCCACCUGGGCAGGCCAAGGAGAGGCCAAAGGACUGGGGAGCAGAGAGUGACUCGCACCCCAGGGCCAUGUCUGCACGGCCAGAGAAGCCACUGGGUGAGAGUGGCUGGGCAGCAAGAGGACCCUGAGGCCAAAGGCCCCUCCGCUGGGGGGAGGUCCCAGCUGUGGAGGCAGAGGCCCCAGAGAGCACAGGGCACAGCAGCUGGGCCUGGGCCCCAGAAUCCCAUUCCUGCCCAAUGGGGGCAGCAAGAGCCCCCGGCAGCUUCCUCAGGGACGCAGGCGUCUGCACCUGCACAGAAGGCGGCCCGUGCCUUGGGUGAGAGCAGUGGGCCAGCUGCUGGAGUGCAGAGGAGUGAGCCUGAGGGGGUGAGUGUGGAGCUGUGUCCCUGUGUGUGAAUGGGUGUGGAGGAAUGAGCCUGUGGUGGGGGUUGAGUGUGGGGCUGUGUCCCUCUGGAUGAGUAUGGAGAGGGUCUGAGGGGGUGAGUGUGGGGCUGUGUCCCUGUGGAUGGGAGUAGAGAGUGAGUCUGAGGGGUGAGUGUGGGGCUGUGUCCCUGUGGAUGGGAGUGGAGAGUGAGUCUGAGGGGUGAGUGUGGGGCUGUGUCCCCGUGGAUGGGUGUGGAGAGUGAGUCUGAGGGGUGAGUGUGGGGCUGUGUCCCCAUGGAUGGGUGUGGAGAGUGAGUCUGAGGGGUGAGUGUGGGGCUGUGUCCCCGUGGAUGGGUGUGGAAAGUGAGUCUGAGGGGUGAGUGUGGGGCUCUGUCCCCGUGGAUGGGUGUGGAGAGUGGGUCUGAGGGGUGAGUGUGGGACUGUGUCCCCGUGGAUGGGUGUGGAGAGUGAGUCUGAGGGGUCAGUGUGGGGCUGUGUCCCCGUGGAUGGGAAUGGAGGAGUGAGACUUAGGGGUGAGUGUGGGGCUGUGUCCCCGUGGAGGGUGCCCUCUAAUGGGCAGGGACCGGCAGGAAAGUGAAGGCAGCCCCGGGAGAGGGGAUGGGUCCUGGGAUCUUCCUCCAGGAUGGGCAGCAUGGACAUUCCUGCCCCAUUUCGGGCAUAUUCACGUUUAUCCACAGACGCCUCCCGCAUCCCCCCAGUAGGCACCAAGUGCCAAGCAUCAAAGCCGCCCUCCCGGCCCCUGAGCACUGGGCAAUGGCAGCCGCCCCUUGUGAAGGUGGGGUGACCGCCUUGCUGAGGUGCUGGUGCCCGGCACACAUGAACU